CCUGAAAUGAAGCGUCUUAGUAGGGGAUGGAAAAGAAAUCAAUAGAGACCCGGUUAGUAACAGCGAGUGAACGCCGGUCAGAUCGCGCUGAAUAUUCUGCAGUAAUGCAGAUAAGAUGUGGCGGGGAGCAUCCGUUUUUUGAGCUGAACUUGUCUGGAACGACACGCCACAGCGAGUGAUAGCCUCUUAAGCGAAGGAAAACGGAGCGAUCCAAAAAGAGUAGUGCCUCCUGGAUAGGUGGUAUGAAUAUGGGGGUAUCAACCUCUAAAUCUAAGUAUGAGUGUGCCAGACCGAUAGCGAAUUUAGUAUCGCGAGAGAAUGCUGAAAAGUACCGCGAGAGCGGUGUUAAAAGAACCUGAAAUUACAUGGAGACAUUACGAUACGGCGCAAAAGAAUCGACCUUCCUGGAAGUUAGGUUUCGUAAGGAACUGUACGACAGGGAGUAUCAGCGUUGUGUCUUACUUCUCGAAGCAAGUGCCAAGGAGUUAUCGGGCGUGGCGAGAUGAAAAUCGAAGCGAAAGCGAGUGCCCGCAAGAAAUGAGGGGUGUCGUGCGAAAGCGCGAUCAGUCACUCCCGAUAGACCCGAAGCCGUUGUGAUCUACUCCCGGCCAGGAUGAAGCCAUUCUGACGAAUGGUGGAGGUCCGAAUCCAGUUCUGGUAUAUUCCGUUUGGGUGAGCUGGGUGUAGGGGUGAUAGUCCAAUCGAACACGGCGAUAGCGGGUUCCCUCCGAAAUGUCCCUCAGGACAGCGUCCCUAGAGGAUGAUGCGGCGGUAGAGCACUGAUUAGGGGGAAUGGCCUCGAAAGGGGUCGCCUUCUUCUCAAACUCCGAAUGCCGUUUCUCCAAAGAAGGGGGCAGUCGGGUUUCACGGGGUAAGCUCGUGAGCCCUUACGGGAACGACCGUACGUGGGGUUAAGGACCCUAAAUGCUGGUUAAGUGUUAAUCGUAAAGGAGCGUCCAUCCUAAAACAAUCGGGAUGUAGGCUUAGAAGCAGCCAUCAUU
rnacentral:rRNA from 1 species